UUUAACUGUUUAUCUUCAGGUACCGCAUCACUGAUGGAGUAAAUCUUCCUUUCCGUGUAUUACCAACUAUCAAAGAAUUAGGCCGUACACGUAUGGAAGUGAAUGUUAAGGUUAAGAGUGUGUUUGGUGCAAAAAUGUUUGCUCUUGGAGUAGUUAUUAAAAUUCCAGUGCCAAAGCAAACUGCUAAAACAAACUUCCAGGUGACGUCAGGGAGAGCAAAGUAUAAUGCAGCCAUUGACUGUUUGGUUUGGAAGA